AAAAACUAUUUUUUUACCAAGGUUAAUUUUAUUUAUCUCCCUUAAGAUUAGUUACUAAAUAUAUCUAACAUCCAUAAAUUUGAAAUUUCUUCAAAUACCUCCCUUAUCUUUUUCAUUUCUUAAAAAAAAAUGAAAACAAAAAAAACAAAAACAGAAACCUUGAUUAGAAACCAAUAAAUAGGUGCAUUAAUAAAGGAGGAACAAAGUGGUUAGUAAUUAUAUGUUGAUCUUCCUCAUGUUCAAAUGCCUCCCCCAUCUUUAUAAUUCAUUUCAGACUCUGCUCCCCGCUAGCUACCUACACUUUUAAACCAUGUAU
rnacentral:lncRNA from 1 species